rnacentral:rRNA from 1 species
AAUCAACGCUGGCGGCGUGCCUAACACAUGCAAGUCGAACGCGAAAGCCCGCAAGGGUAAGUAGAGUGGCGCACGGGUGAGUAACACGUGGACAACCUGCCUUCGAGUGGGGAAUAACCUUCCGAAAGGAGGGCUAAUACCGCAUAACACCUCGGGACACAAGUUCUGGGGUUGAAAAGAGCAAUUUGCUCGAAGAGGGGUCCGCGCCUGAUUAGCUAGUUGGUGAGGUAACGGCUCACCAAGGCUUCGAUCAGUAGCCGUCCUGAGAGGGAGCACGGCCACACUGGAACUGAGACACGGUCCAGACUCCUACGGGAGGCAGCAGUGGGGAAUUUUUGGCAAUGGGCGAAAGCCUGACCAAGCAACGCCGCGUGGGUGAUGAAGUAUCUUGGUACGUAAAACCCUUUCGGCAGGGACGAAACUAAUGACGGUACCUGCGAAGAAGCCCCGCUAACUCCGUGCCAGCAGCCGCAGUAAU